CAGCAGCCGCGGGAAUACGGAGGGUGCGAGCGUUACCCGGAAUUACUGGGCGUAAAGGGCGCGUAGGCGGCAUGUUAAGUCUGGUUUUAAAGACAGGGGCUCAACCCCUGGAGUGGACUGGAUACUGGCACGCUUGACCUCUGGAGAGGUAACUGGAAUUUCUGGUGUAGCGGUGGAAUGCGUAGAUACCAGAAGGAACACCAAUGGCGAAGGCAAGUUACUGGACAGAAGGUGACGCUGAGGCGCGAAAGUGUGGGGAGCGAACCGGAUUAGAUACCCCUGUAGUCCCUGUCUCUUAUAC
rnacentral:rRNA from 1 species